AGUGUAGGCGGUCAAGCAAGUCAGAGGUGAAAGGCAUCGGCUCAACCGAUGUAAGCCUUUGAAACUGUUUGACUUGAGUGCAGGAGAGGUAAGUAGAAUUCCUAGUGUAGCGGUGAAAUGCGUAGAUAUUAAGAGGAACACCAGUGGCGAAGGCGACUUACUGGACUGUAACUGACGCUGAGGCUCGAAAGCGUGGGGAGCGAACA
rnacentral:rRNA from 1 species